GGACUACCGGGGUAUCUAAUCCUGUUUGAUCCCCACGCUUUCGUGCCUGAGCGUCAGUUACAGCCCAGUAUGCUGCCUUCGCAAUUGGUGUUCUGUGUCAUAUCUAUGCAUUUCACCGCUACACAACACAUUCCGCAUACCUCAUUUGUACUCAAGACCACCAGUUUCAACGGCAAUGUUAACGUUAAGCGUCAACCUUUCACCGCUGACUUAGCAGCCCGCCUGCGCACCCUUUAAACCCAAUAAAUCCGGAUAACGCUCGCAUCCUCCGUAUUACCGCGGCGGCUGGCAC
rnacentral:rRNA from 1 species